rnacentral:rRNA from 1 species
AACGAACGCUGGCGGCACGCCUAACACAUGCAAGUCGAACGCAGUAGCAAUACUGAGUGGCAAACGGGUGAGUAUAAUGUGGGAAUCCGCCUUUUGGUUUGGAAUAACACGGGGAAACUUGUGCUAAUACCGGAUAAGCCCUUACGGGGAAAGUUUUAAACGCCGAAAGAUGAGCCUGCACUUGAUUAGCUAGUUGGUAAGGUAAAAGCUUACCAAGGCAACGAUCAAUAGCUGUUCUUAGAGGAAGACCAGCCACAUUGGGACUGAGACACGGCCCAGACUCCUACGGGAGGCAGCAGUGGGGAAUCUUGCACAAUGGGGGAAACCCUGAUGCAGCGAUGCCGCGUGAGUGAAGAAGGCCUUUGGGUUGUAAAACUCUUUCGUCGGGGAAGAAAAUGACUGUACCCGAAUAAGAAGGUCCGGCUAACUUCGUG